rnacentral:rRNA from 1 species
AUUGAACGCUGGCGGCAGGCUUAACACAUGCAAGUCGAGCGGGGUGAUGGUGCUUGCACUAUCACUUAGCGGCGGACGGGUGAGUAAUGCUUAGGAAUCUGCCUAUUAGUGGGGGACAACAUCUCGAAAGGGAUGCUAAUACCGCAUCCGUCCUACGGGAGAAAGCAGGGGAUCCCUUGUGACCUUGCGCUAAUAGAUGAGCCUAAGUCGGAUUAGCUAGUUGGUGGGGUAAAGGCCUACCAAGGCGACGGUCUGUAGUGGGUUUGGGAGGAGUAUCCGCCACACUGGGACUGGGACACGGCCCAGACUCCUACGGGAGGCAGCAGUGGGGAAUAUUGGACAAUGGGGGGAACCCUGAUCCAGCCAUGCCGCGUGUGUGAAGAAGGCCUUAUGGUUGUAAAGCACUUUAAGCGAGGAGGAGGCUCUUUUGGUUAAUGCCCAAGAUGAGUGGACGUUACUCGCAGAAUUAGCACCGGCUAACUCUGUGCCAGCAGCCGCGGUAA